GACAGAGGUGGCAAGCGUUGUUCGGAGUUACUGGGCGUAAAGCGCACGUAGGCGGUUGGAUAAGUCCUGUGUGAAAUCCCCCCGCUCAACGGGGGAACGGCAUGGGAUACUGUCCGGCUAGAGGGUUGGAGAGGAGAGUGGAAUUCCCGGUGUAGCGGUGAAAUGCGUAGAGAUCGGGAGGAACACCUGUGGCGAAGGCGGCUCUCUGGACAACCCCUGACGCUCAAGUACGAAAGCGUGGGGAGCAAAC
rnacentral:rRNA from 1 species